rnacentral:rRNA from 1 species
ACGGUACCUCAGGAAUAAGCAACGGCUAACUCCGUGCCAGCAGCCGCGGUAAUACGGAGGUUGCAAGCGUUGUUCGGAAUAACUGGGCGUAAAGGGAGCGCAGGCGGCUUGGUAAGUCUAAAGUGAAAUUCCAGGGCUCAACCCUGGACGUGCUUUGGAUACUGCCUGGCUUGAGUACGUGAGAGGAGAUUGGAAUUCCAGGUGUAGCGGUGAAAUGCGUAGAUAUCUGGAGGAACACCGGUGGCGAAAGCGGAUCUCUGGCACGUUACUGACGCUGAGGCUCGAAAGCAUGGGGAGCAAACGGGAUUAGAUACCCCGGUAGUCCAUGCCGUAAACGUUGUGCGCUAGGUGUAGGAGGUAUCGACCCCUUCUGUGCCGCAGCUAACGCAUUAAGCGCACCGCCUGGGGAGUACGGUCGCAAGACUGAAACUCAAAGGAAUUGACGGGGGCCCGCACAAGCGGUGGAGCAUGUGGUUUAAUUCGAGGCAACGCGAAGAACCUUACCCAGGCUUGACAUCCCAAGACCGCCUAUGAAAGUAGGUUUUCCCUUC